rnacentral:rRNA from 1 species
GAUGAACGCUAGCGGCAGGCUUAAUACAUGCAAGUUGAGGGGCAGCAUGAUAUACGCGAGUAUAUUGAUGGCGACCGGCGGACGGGUGAGUAAUAGGUAGGAGACCUACCUCAUACAGGGGGAUAGCAUAGAGAAAUCUGUGGUAAUACCCCAUGAGGUUAUAUGAAUAGAGGCAUAUAAUCAAAGCAUAAGCGAUUAUGCGGUAUGAGAGGGGCCUACUGACCAUUAGCUAGUUGGUGAGGUAAGGGCUCACCAAGGCGAAGAUGGUUAGGGGUUUUGAGAGAGAGACCCCCCACAUUGGAACUGAGAGACGGUCCAGACUCCUACGGGAGGCAGCAGUAGGGAAUAUUGGGCAAAUGGGCGAAAGCCUGACCCAGCCAUGCCGCGUGAAGGAAGACGGCCUUAUGGGUUGUAAACUUCUUUACUACGCGAAUAGAGGUUAGUACGAGAUACGUAAUAGGGAAGGUAGUAGUAGUAAAAAGCACCGGGCUAAACUCCCGU